rnacentral:rRNA from 1 species
GACGAACGCUGGCGGCGUGCUUAACACAUGCAAGUCGAACGGAAAGGCCCUGCUUUUGUGGGGUGCUCGAGUGGCGAACGGGUGAGUAACACGUGAGUAACCUGCCCUUGACUUUGGGAUAACUUCAGGAAACUGGGGCUAAUACCGGAUAGGAGCUCCUGCUGCAUGGUGGGGGUUGGAAAGUUUCGGCGGUUGGGGAUGGACUCGCGGCUUAUCAGCUUGUUGGUGGGGUAGUGGCUUACCAAGGCUUUGACGGGUAGCCGGCCUGAGAGGGUGACCGGCCACAUUGGGUCUGAGAUACGGCCCAGACUCCUACGGGAGGCAGCAGUGGGGAAUAUUGCACAAUGGGCGGAAGCCUGAUGCAGCAACGCCGCGUGCGGGAUGACGGCCUUCGGGUUGUAAACCGCUUUCGCCUGAGACGAAGCGUGAGUGACGGUAAUGGGUAAAGAAGCACCGGCUAACUACGUG